rnacentral:rRNA from 1 species
AAUAGAUACCCGGGUAGUCCACGCCGUAAACGACUGAGUGCCUAAGUGUUAAGAGGGUUUCCGCCCUUUAAGGUGCUGCAGCUAACGCAUUAAGCACUCCGCCUGGGGAGUACGGCCGCAAGGCUGAAACUCAAAGGAAUUGACGGGGGCCCGCACAAGCGGUGGAGCAUGUGGUUUAAUUCGAAGCAACGCGAAGAACCUUACCAGGUCUUGACAUCCUCUGCCAACCCUAGAGAUAGGGCGUUCCCCUUCGGGGGACAGAGUGACAGGUGGUGCAUGGUUGUCGUCAGCUCGUGUCGUGAGAUGUUGGGUUAAGUCCCGCAACGAGCGCAACCCUUGAUCUUAGUUGCCAGCAUUCAGUUGGGCACUCUAAGGUGACUGCCGGUGACAAACCGGAGGAAGGUGGGGAUGACGUCAAAUCAUCAUGCCCCUUAUGACCUGGGCUACACACGUGCUACAAUGGAUGGUACAAAGAGCUGCGAACCCGCGAGGGUAAGCCAAUCUCAUAAAGCCAUUCUCAGUUCGGAUUGUAGG